rnacentral:rRNA from 1 species
UGUAAGCGUAUACCAAAGUUGUUGCAGUUAAAACGCUCGUAGUCGGAAUUUGGCAGUUCCGGAAGUGUGCACGUCGUGUGCGCACUUUGCGGGGACUGCUUUUGUGGUCUUGCGUAGGAUGAGGCACUUUCAUUAGUGAACGUCCUCACGCAACCACUCUUUACUGUGAGAAAAUCAGAGUGCUCAAAGCAGGCAUUUGCCGUGAAUGUAUUAGCAUGGAAUAAUAGAAUAGGACUCGGUUCUAUUUUGUUGGUUUGUUGGGACUGAGUAAUGAUUAAGAGGGACAGUUGGGGGCAUUUGUAUUCCGGUGCUAGAGGUGAAAUUCUUAGAUUACCGAAAGACAAACUGCUGCGAAAGCGUCUGCCAAGGAUGUUUUCAUUGA